GACAGAGGGUGCAAACGUUGCUCGGAAUUACUGGGCGUAAAGCGCGUGUAGGCGGGUUUCCAAGUCAGAUGUGAAAUCCCCGGGCUCAACCCGGGAACUGCAUUUGAAACUGGGAGUCUUGAGCAUCGGAGAGGAAAGCGGAAUUCCUGGUGUAGAGGUGAAAUUCGUAGAUAUCAGGAGGAACACCGGUGGCGAAGGCGGCUUUCUGGACGAUAACUGACGCUGAGACGCGAAAGCGUGGGGAGCAAACAGG
rnacentral:rRNA from 1 species